rnacentral:rRNA from 1 species
AAAUUGAAGAGUUUGAUCAUGGCUCAGAUUGAACGCUGGCGGCAGGCCUAACACAUGCAAGUCGAACGGUAACAGGAAGAAGCUUGCUUCUUUGCUGACGAGUGGCGGACGGGUGAGUAAUGUCUGGGAAACUGCCUGAUGGAGAGGGAUAACUACUGGAAACGGUAGCUAAUACCGCAUAACGUCGCAAGACCAAAGAGGGGGACCUUUGGGCCUCUUGCCAUCGGAUGUGCCCAGAUGGGAUUAGCUAGUAGGUGGGGUAACGGCUCACCUAGGCGACGAUCCCUAGCUGGUCUGAGAGGAUGACCAGCCACACUGGAACUGAGACACGGUCCAGACUCCUACGGGAGGCAGCAGUGGGGAAUAUUGCACAAUGGGCGCAAGCCUGAUGCAGCCAUGCCGCGUGUAUGAAGAAGGCCUUCGGGUUGUAAAGUACUUUCAGCGGGGAGGAAGGGAGUAAAGUUAAUACCUUUGCUCAUUGACGUUACCCGCAGAAGAAGCACCGGCUAACUCCGUGCCAGCAGCCGCGGUAAUACGGAGGGUGCAAGCGUUAAUCGGAAUUACUGGGCGUAAAGCGCACGCAGGCGGUUUGUUAAGUCAGAUGUGAAAUCCCCGGGCUCAACCUGGGAACUGCAUCUGAUACUGGCAAGCUUGAGUCUCGUAGAGGGGGGUAGAAUUCCAGGUGUAGCGGUGAAAUGCGUAGAGAUCUGGAGGAAUACCGGUGGCGAAGGCGGCCCCCUGGACGAAGACUGACGCUCAGGUGCGAAAGCGUGGGGAGCAAACAGGAUUAGAUACCCUGGUAGUCCACGCCGUAAACGAUGUCGACUUGGAGGUUGUGCCCUUGAGGCGUGGCUUCCGGAGCUAACGCGUUAAGUCGACCGCCUGGGGAGUACGGCCGCAAGGUUAAAACUCAAAUGAAUUGACGGGGGCCCGCACAAGCGGUGGAGCAUGUGGUUUAAUUCGAUGCAACGCGAAGAACCUUACCUGGUCUUGACAUCCACGGAAGUUUUCAGAGAUGAGAAUGUGCCUUCGGGAACCGUGAGACAGGUGCUGCAUGGCUGUCGUCAGCUCGUGUUGUGAAAUGUUGGGUUAAGUCCCGCAACGAGCGCAACCCUUAUCCUUUGUUGCCAGCGGUCCGGCCGGGAACUCAAAGGAGACUGCCAGUGAUAAACUGGAGGAAGGUGGGGAUGACGUCAAGUCAUCAUGGCCCUUACGACCAGGGCUACACACGUGCUACAAUGGCGCAUACAAAGAGAAGCGACCUCGCGAGAGCAAGCGGACCUCAUAAAGUGCGUCGUAGUCCGGAUUGGAGUCUGCAACUCGACUCCAUGAAGUCGGAAUCGCUAGUAAUCGUGGAUCAGAAUGCCACGGUGAAUACGUUCCCGGGCCUUGUACACACCGCCCGUCACACCAUGGGAGUGGGUUGCAAAAGAAGUAGGUAGCUUAACCUUCGGGAGGGCGCUUACCACUUUGUGAUUCAUGACUGGGGUGAAGUCGUAACAAGGUAACCGUAGGGGAACCUGCGGUUGGAUCACCUCCUUACCUUAAAGAA